rnacentral:rRNA from 1 species
CAGUCGCCACGGUAAUACGUAGGUGGCAAGCGUUGUCCGGAAUUAUUGGGCGUAAAGCGCGCGCAGGUGGUUUAAUAAGUCUGAUGUGAAAGCCCACGGCUCAACCGUGGAGGGUCAUUGGAAACUGUUAAACUUGAGUGCAGGAGAGAAAAGUGGAAUUCCUAGUGUAGCGGCGAAAUGCGUAGAGAUUAGGAGGAACACCAGUGGCGAAGGCGGCUUUUUGGCCUGUAACUGACACUGAGGCGCGAAAGCGUGGGGAGCAAACAGGAUUAGAUACCCGCGUAGUCCCUGUCUCUUAUAC